UUGGAGUUGCGCGGCAUUUCAGCUUCCUGAGGCGCAGUGGGCGUGGUCACGGUAGUUGGAGACCUGUUCUUCGGAGGGGUCCGGUACCUGCUAGUUCAGAAUUGCUGGUGGCGGUUGGUCAGUAUGUCUCUCUCUGAAGCUGGGGCCCGGCCGCGGACGUGGGACGCCAGCCCUUCGGAACACAGGAAGUGGGUGGAAGUAUUUAAAGCAUGUGAUGAAGAUAAUAAAGGCUAUUUAAGCAGAGAAGACUUUAAGGUUGCUGUUGUAAUGCUGUUUGGUUACAAGCCCUCCAAGAUAGAAGCAGAUUCUGUGAUGUCUUCAAUAAAUCCCAACACUUCUGGCAUAGUACUUGGGGAGUUUUUAAAUAUUAUAAGGAAAAAGAAGGAAGCUCAACUAUAUCGAAAUGAGAUAAGACACAUCUUCACAGCUUUUGAUGUGCACUAUCGUGGCUAUUUAACUUUAGAAGAUUUCAAAAAAGCAUUCAGCCAGGUGGCUCCCAGAUUACCAGAAAGGACUGUUCUUGAGGUAUUCAGAUAUAACACCUUGGACCUUUAAAGACUAAUUCAUACAACCAUGCAAAAUUAUAUUUUUAAAGAAAUGAAAUAAAUUAUUUAAAUGCCCAAAUCACCAGUUCUGAUGACAGACUUUCUCCUUCUAGACUACAAUUUAUAACUUAUCAUCUCUGAGAAACCUUCUUAAUGAAGGUUGUAAAAAAUACUUAUGCUGUCUGCCUAGUUUCCAAAUGAGCCUGGGAGCGCCAGUUGCACAGUUUUCAUGUAUCGUCCAAGAGCAGCUGUUGGGGAUGAUGAACCGUCAGAGGAGGAAUCUUACCAUUAAACUAGAGGUUCUUCAAAAACAGAAGGUGUGACCAUCAAGUGUCUUGUUGUCAAUGUAAAAUACGAACCUUCAGGAAAACAAGAGAAAGACCAGGUUACUAACGACUGUCAGCUCAAGUGUGUGUGUGGGUGGGGGGCCGUUCAGGGUGUUAAAAAUUACCCCAAAGGCAUUUAUUAAGUGAGCUAGGCACCAGGCAUUGUAUUUUUGCAUAAUUGUGUUAUUUCAAGUAAGUUCUCUUUCAAUUCUUCCCCUUCAACUCCAGUCUGGAGAUCCUUUCCUGCUCUGUACAUCUUCACUAUAGCUCAUGCCAUGUUGGGUUGGUGCAGUUUUUGGUCCGUGUCUGUCUGCUCCAUUAGCCUGGGAGUACUUAAAGGGCAUAGCUAGGACUUGCAUCCCUGAAUUCCAAGUGCCCAAGGCAACACCUGGCCCUUAGUUGAAUUUUUUGUUUGUUUGUUGUUUAAUUUAACAAGCCUCCCCUAAGUAAACACCAUCACCUUCUUUUUCUAAGAAAGCUUAUAUUCAAAGGAUUGGGUAACUUGACUGCAAUCUCACAGUGAGUAAGUAGCAGAUUUUGGAUUUAAAGCCAGGUCUAUAUUUGCUACUUCAACUCAGAUGCUGUCAGGAGGACUAAGAGGGAACUGUUGGUAGGCCCAAGCAACAUCCUUGCAGAUCUCAGUAGGAGAAAUUACUUAGGAGAUAUUUUUGGUUUUACCCAGUGAAUUACUGCAGUUUAAGAGACUAUCAGAAGAAAGUCUUUUGACUGGAUAAAAAAAGUCUUGAAAAUAAGCUGAUCUUUGCAAACCAUACACCUGUUAGAUUAAUAUCCAAAAUUUAUGAGAACUCCUGUAACUCAAAAGUGGAAAAUGAUCCAAUUUUAAAAUGGGCAAAAAACCUGAAUAGACAUUUCUCCAAAAGGACACAGAAAUAGCUGACAGGUGUAUGAAAAGAUGGCUGAUAUUAUUAAUCAUCUGUGAAAUACAGAUCAAAAUAAUUAUGAGACACUACCUCACAUCUGCUGGGAUGACUGUUAGCAAAAAGCAAAACGAUAACAAAUGUUGGUGAUGGCAUGGAGAAAAGAAAAUGUUUGUACACUGUUGGCAGGAAUGCAGACUGACACAGCCAUUAUGGAAAAUAGUACCUGUGGAGAUUUGUAAAGAAAUUAAAACUAAGGCCAAUACCCAAAGGAAGUGAAAUCAUUAUCUCAUAAGGAUACCUGCACAUCCAUGUUCAUUGCAGCAUAUCCACAAUAUUCAAUAUAGGAAAACAGCCUACAUGUCUACUGACGGACAAAUGAAUAAAGAUAAUGUAGUGCAUAUACACACACAGCAGAGUAUUACUCAGCCCUAUAAAAGAAUGAGAUUUUACCAUUUGCUACAUCAUGGAUGCGCCCGGAAAACAUUAUACUCAGUAAAAUAAGCAAAUCGCAGAAUGACUACUACAUGAUCUCACUUACAUGUGGAAUCUUAAAAAAAAAAAAAAGAGUCAAAUAUAUAGAGAGAAGGAACAGUGGUUACCAGAAGUGGGAUGGAGGUGGUGGGGAGAGGGGGAGAAUGUAAAUCAGAGGAUACAAAGUAGCAAGUAUGCAGCUGAACAAGUCUAGAAAUCUAGUGUACAGCUUGAGAACUAGAGGUCAUCAAAUUGUACUCUCUAUGGAAUACCUGCUAAAUGAGUAGAUGACGUCAUGUUGUAUAUCUCGAAUAUACACAAAAAAAUGUAUUUUAAAAAGAAAAUAAGCUGGCCUAUUAUAUUCAGCUAUAAAAGAAUUUUUGGAGCCCACUGCAGACCAGCAGGUCUGCCCACGCUCUACCGAGGUCCCAAGUGGCACGGAACAUGCUGAAUCAGCCCGCUGCA